rnacentral:rRNA from 1 species
UCCCAUGCCGAACUCAGAAGUGAAACGCCGUAGCGCCGAUGGUAGUGUGGGGUCUCCCCAUGCGAGAGUAGGACACUGCCAGGC